AUGAUACAGUUUUUGAGCCUGAUGGGAGGUAGCAACAUUGGAGACGCUGUGAGGAGAAUCCUUCGGAAAAUAGCUACCAAUGAGGCCUGGUCAAAUUACAGCCUGAAAGGCCGAAAAGGAAAACUGACCUUCAUUGGGACAGCGCUUCACCAUAUUGUUUUAAGUGCUUGUGCCAAACAAUUUCCGAAACACACAGAAAAGGAAAUUGAUACAUGUAUAGGGGAAACCCUCAAACAUGCACCUCACCGUGCCAAGGUGGUCGCGACACCUGCAGCGGAAGAAGAACUUCGGGCACCUCCUGGGGAUGGAGACAAUGACUGA
ensembl:lncRNA